AGAGCGAACGCUGGCGGCAGGCCUAAUACAUGCAAGUCGAACGAAGCCUUCGGGCUUAGUGGCGGACGGGUGAGUAACACGUGGGAACGUACCCUUUGGUUCGGAACAACUCAGGGAAACUUGAGCUAAUACCGAAUGUGCCCCCAUCCUUAAAAAAGAUGGGUGGGAAAGAUUUAUCGCCAUUGGAGCGGCCCGCGUCUGAUUAGCUAGUUGGUGAGGUAAAGGCCCACCAAGGCUACGAUCAGUAGCUGGUCUGAGAGGAUGAUCAGCCACACUGGGACUGAGACACGGCCCAGACUCCUACGGGAGGCAGCAGUAGGGAAUCUUGCGCAAUGGGCAAAGCCUGACGCAGCCAUGCCGCGUGAAUGAUGAAGGUCUUAGGAUUGUAAAAUUCUUUCAGCGGGGACGAUAAUGACGGUACCCGCAGAAGAAGCCCCGGCUAACUUCGUGCCAGCAGCCGC
rnacentral:rRNA from 1 species